rnacentral:lncRNA from 1 species
AUGAGCACAACCCCCUCGCAAAGCCAGCUGGCCAAUCAGCACGCACCCUUUCCGAAGUCACCAGCCAAUCAGCUCGCAUCGGCCUCCAAAGCCGCCAGCCAAUGGCACGCGUUUGCCUCCAACACAGCCGUCCAAUCAUCUGUCGUUGAUUCCCACAGCCUGCUGGCCAAUCAGCAUCUCGCCUCCAGAGCCAGCCAGCCAAUCAGAAUGCAAAAUUCCCCAGAACUACCAGCACCUGCCACGCCGUCGUUCCCACGGCUCCGCCGUCCAAUCACCUCUUCCCUAUCCCCCCCACCACCAGGCGGGGAACCAAUCAGCGAGCUCCAUCCGUCCAAGCAGCCAAUGGGUGAGCUCCGGCCGACCAAUCAGCAAGCGCCGCCCCGGAUUGAGCAGGAGGGAGGCCGGGCGAGGCGGUGCCGAGGGAUUAGGGGCGGAUUAGGGAAGGCGGCCUCCACGCUCGGCCUCGGGGCGGGACGAGCCGGGCCCCGACGCCGUUAUAAAACCCGCGGCGCUCACGUGGGAGGGACGGGCGCGGAGCGGCGGCGGCGUCGGAGGAGGAGAAGGAGGAGGAGGAGGAGGNNNNNNNNNNUGGGUCGUGCUCUCCGUCCAUCCUUACUUCAGCCUCCAUCCAUUCCUCUCUGGUGUUCAACCUCCAGCCUCCUUCUUGCUCCGUCUCCAGCCUCCUUCUUGCUCUGUCUCCAGCCUCCACCCUUCCCUCCUUCUUCUCUCCAUCUCCAGCCUCCAUCCACCCCUCCUUCUUGCUCCAACCCCAGCCUCCAUCCCCACUUUUUUGCUCCGUCCUCAGCCUCCAUCCUUCCCUCCUCUUUUCUCCGUCCCCAGCCUCCACCCAUCUUCUUCUUCUUCUCUCCAUCUCCAGCCUCCAUCCACCCCUCCUUCUUGCUCCAACCCCAGCCUCCAUCCCCACUUUUUUGCUCCGUCCUCAGCCUCCAUCCUUCCCUCCUCUUUUCUCCGUCCCCAGCCUCCACCCAUCUUCUUCUUUGUCCCUUCCCCAGCCUCUACAUCCCUCCUUGGAGAAGGAAGCUCCAUUUCCAGCCUCCAUUCACCAUUUCCAGCCUCCAUCCACGUCUCCUUUCUUCCUCCAUCCCUGACCUCCACUCACCCCUCCUUUCUUUCUCCAUCCCCCGCCUCCCUCCACCCCUCCUUUCUUCCUCCAUCCACCCCUCCUUCCUUACUCCAUCCCUGACCUCCCUCCACCCCUCCUUUCUUCCUCCAUCCACCCCUCCUUCCUUGCUCCAUCCCCGACCUCCCUCCACCCCUCCUUGCUUGCUCCAUCCCCAAUUUCCACCCCUCCUUGCCCCAUCUCCACCCAGCCUUCCUUGCGGAAGUUUUCCACCAUGAGGGUGGGGAGGCACCAGAACAGGUUACCCAGAGGAGCUGGGGAUGCCCCGGCCCUGGAGGUGCUCAAGGCCACCUUGGACGGGGUUUUGGGCAACCUGGCCUGGUGGGAGGUGGCCCUGCCCAUGGCAGGGGGGUGGAAUUAGAAGGGCUUUGAGGUCCCUUCCAACCCUUCUGUGAUUUCUUCUCCGUGGUUGCUUUAUCCUUGAGUCCCCAACCUCUGUCCAUCUCUCCUUGCCUACUUGUCUUCCUUUCUUUGUUUUCCUUCAUUUUCCUUUGUUUUCCUUCUUUUUACUUUGUUUAUUUUCCUUCUUUUUCCUUCCUUCCUUCUUUUUCCUUCAUUUUCCUUCAUUUUCCUUCCUUCCUUCUUUUUCCUGCAUUUUCCUUCAUUUUCCUUCAUUCUCCUUCAUUUUCCUUCCUUCCUUCUUUUUCCUGCAUUUUCCUUCACUCUCCUUCCUUUCUUCUUUUUCCUUCAUUUUCCUUCAUUUUCUUUCAUUCUCCUUCUUUUUCCUUCAUUUUCCUUCCUUCCUUCUUUUUCCUUCAUUUUCCUUCAUUCUCCUUCUUUUUCCUUCAUUCUCCUUCCUUCCUUCAUUUUCCUUCAUUUUCCUUCUUUUUCUUUCCUUCCUUCCUUUUCCUUCUUUUUCCUUCAUUCUCCUUCCUUCCUUCUUUUUCCUUCAUUUUCCUUCUUUUUCCUUUUCCUUCCCUCCCUCCUUCCCUCCCUUCUCCACAUUUGCUCCACCUCUGGUCUCCAUCUCUCCAUCCUCAUUCAUGCUUUGAC